UUUGUGCUUAAGGAUCCGUUUAUUUGUCAGGUUGCUUGAAAAUAAAUUCCAUUGGUAAAACAUUUUCUAAAACACGGUAAAUGAGAUGGGCUUUUAGGGAAAAUGUCUUACCGAUUUUAUUUCUGUAAGACAUUUUCCUUCUUCCUCCACUCUCACCAAUUUGGUUCCUCCUCCUUCCGUUCUUCAUCUGUCCCUUCUAGAAUCUCAAUCAAGGGGGGAGAGAGGCGGGGCAUUCUUUGUGGAAGCUUUGUCGCUGAACUUGAGAAUUAAUUGAUAUGAAUAACGACUUUCAAGAACCUAGGUCAAAAGAAGAUGAUGGCUAUUCCAAGAUUUCUACAGUUUUAAAUCCUAUUUCUUCUGAAAAUUUUACUGCUCAAUCUACCUCUCGAAGCUGAUUGUUGCUAAUGAGAAUAUAUUGGAGAAGAAGCAUGAUUUUUACUCUACCAAACAGAAUGAGGAUUUUGCUGCUUUGGAGCAGGUAGUCACAUUUUCUAUUCUUGGGGUGCCACUAUGUCCAGGUUUCUAAUAAUUAUAGUGUUUUAUGGUUCAUCCCUUGGGCAAGUUAUACUGCUUGUAAUAACAAUUUCCUUACCAAACACAAUUAAACAUUUUUUGAAGUGUACUUUUUGAUGUCUUAGAAAUAUGCCAUUAUAAGUAUCCAUGGUUAUAUUUAACUCAUCUGAUGCAAUUUGACAUUCCAUAAUAUAUGCAAUUUAUUACUA